rnacentral:snoRNA from 1 species
CCCUUCUCAGGAUCACAUCUGGAGAGUUUCCAGUACUCUACCAGUCCUGGCUAUGGGAGGGAAAGUUAAGCAGAGGCAUAUCCAUUCCAUUCCUAGCUUGGUCAGAGGCUAGUGAGUGGAAGGCAUUCUGCUACAAGU